UGCAACAACACUGCCACAUUCUAGCCUGAUACUCUCAUAUCUCAGAAGCUAAGCAAGGCUGGGCCUGGUCAGUACUAGGAUGGGAGAUUUACAAGGAGAACCAGGUUGCUGCUGCAA
rnacentral:rRNA from 1 species